AAUGAACGUUGGCGGCGUGGAUUAGGCAUGCAAGUCGAGCGGAAAGGCCCGCAAGGGUACUCGAGCGGCGUAAGGGACAGUAAUGUAUGGGUCACGUACCUUCAGGACUGGGAUAGCUGCGGGAAACUGCAAUUAAUACCAGAUAACGUCUCCGGACCAAAGGUGUGAGUCCGCCUGGAGAGCGGUCCAUAUCCUAUUAGCUAGUUGGUGGGGUAACGGCCUACCAAGGCAAAGAUGGGUAGCAGGUGUGAGAGCACGACCUGCGUCACUGGGACUGAGAACUGACCAGACACCUACGGGUGGCUGCAGUCGAGAAUCUUCGGCAAUGGGCGCAAGCCUGACCGAGCGACGCCGCGUGUGGGAUGAAGGCCUUCGGGUUGUAAACCACUGUCGGAGGGGAUGAAAUGCCGGUAGGUACUCCUAUCGGUUUGACUGAUCCUCGGAGGAAGGGUGGGCUAAGUUCGUGCCAGCAGCCGCGGUAAGAC
rnacentral:rRNA from 1 species